UACGUAGGGGGGCAAGCGUUGUCCGGAAUUAUUGGGCGUAAAGAGCUCGUAGGCGGCUUGUCACGUCGGGUGUGAAAGACCGGGGCUUAACCCCGGUUCUGCAUUCGAUACGGGCUGGCUAGAGUGUGGUAGGGGAGAUCGGAAUUCCUGGUGUAGCGGUGAAAUGCGCAGAUAUCAGGAGGAACACCGGUGGCGAAGGCGGAUCUCUGGGCCAUUACUGACGCUGAGGAGCGAAAGCGUGGGGAGCGAACAGG
rnacentral:rRNA from 1 species